GUGAUGAAGGUCGUGUUGGUGCUGCAUCAUCAGAUGAACCGGUUCUGGUUUCAGGCUGAAGCUGCUUCAGGAAGAUGCUGGAUUUGAGCCUCACUCAUCGACGUCGGCUGAUCCACAUUCAGAUGGCUCAUCUUUGCUCAGGUGUUGAUACGAAUGAGGCCCACAGAACCAGGACCCGUGGACGUGAGGAGGUUUCAGCCUGAGACCAGAGGACGGAACCCAAAGCACGGCGGCGCAGGAUGAAGCUGGAAAACUGCAAAAACAAGUGGCUUCUAUCUGACGGAACCUGUCGACUCACCUGACUGUGUCUGAGCUGAUCAACAUCUGCCUCCGUUUCACUUGGUGCUGAGCCUCAUCAUUAGUCUGUUUGAUCCAAAGGUUCAACAGAAGCUGCGUUGAUGUGACGUUUUCAGCUUCUUCCUUCACCUUCAUCUCAUGCUUCACAUCAGGGACCUCACGCUUUGCCUCUGUUGGUUUCAUGUGGAUCUGGACCAGCAGCCGAGGCAGCGUCCAUCCGCCGUGUCCAAACGGACCUGGAGCAGAACCAGUAGAACCAGAACGCAGGUGCAGUACUGCAGCACAGAACCAGACCUGGUUUGUGUCUGUGACAUUAGACUUUAUUUGAACUGGAACCCUUCAUUUUCUUCAUUUCUCUUCUUCUUUGGUUUUACUGUUAGAUUGAGAGACGUUUUUUCCUCUAACCUUUUUCCUUUUGUAACUUGGCUUCUGACCAAUGGCGAGGCAGGAUUCCAGGACUGCCGCUGUACCUGCCAGGUGUGGCCACGCCCAGCGAAUGUCAGGCUGAGGCUUCUUCCCUCGUGUCCUUGUAUGGACUUAACUGCAGCUGACAUUCCUGUGAGCGACACACCUGCUUCCUACCUGUCCUUCCUGCAUCGUGUGAAGAAUGCAGCAGCCUGGAACUGAACUCGCACUUCACGCUCAGCGUAAGUGUUGUGAUGAUGAAAGUGUGGCGGCGGGUGGAAGUGCAGCAGAGUGUUUGCUGCUUCCUUAUAUGGACGUAGCUGCAGCGGUGACGCUCAGGAUGAAGGAACCGCAGCCGAAGCCGCCGCCGCAGCAGUAAUAGAGCUGUGCCCACGCCGCUCGAACCCGUGAACACGCGCCGCUCUCCGUUCGGACCCUGAUACCGACACGUUGGGCCUGAGUCUGAGAGCCCGCAGAACGCGAGCGCGGCGCCGGUCCGGGGCCCUCGCCUGCAGCCGCCACAUUCCACGGCCGGUCGGGGCCUGUUGAUGGAGGCGUGUCUGACGCAGUCACAAGCAGCCACACACGGACGCGGCGCGUCCUGUGAGUGCCUCCUCGCCGUGACCUUUAACCCCAGGAGCAACAUGCAGAGGCCUGAAACCUGCAGCUCCGUCAGCCGGCUUCAUGACACUUAAAGAGUUAAAUAACAACCUGCUAAUGAUUCCUGUUUAUUCAGUGUUAAAAGAAUCCUGAGAACGAUCGUCUCCUCGCUGUUCAGUUUAUUGAACCUAACGACGGCAAAAGAUCCUGAAAGCGAAACCUACAGCAGCUCCCUGUUUUAGUCCUGCAGUGCUAAGUUCAGCUCGUGGACCAAACAGACCAGGAGUCACUGACAGAGACUGGGCUGCGCUUCUACUGGGACAGUGAACCCGCACCCACUAACAAAGUCAUAAAACCCGGGCUCCUGCGGACGCGUCCCCGGUCCACCAGCAGAGGGCGCCACAGUCCAACAGCCCAGAACUGAACCGAGCAGCGCAAUGUGGAACAGCUGAUCAGGUUUACGUUCAGUUACAUGGAUCGGAGUCGGGUCGAGUCCAGUGGGUGUGACGCGUUCUUUUCAUUUACUGAGGAUCAGCAGACCGUUGAUCGGCUUCCUUUUCAUUGGAGAUGUCCCGCUGCUGCCGUCAGCUCCACCUGGUGUUUCCUCGCUCUGCUCCAGCUCCCUCUCCAUCCUUUACUUUUCUUUUGACUGUGAUCUGAUUUUCUUCUGAGCUUGAAGCCUUUGCUCCGUUUCUCCUUUCUUCGCUCCUUUUUGAUCUUCUCCUCCAUUUCCUUGAGUUGUUCUCAAUUUUCUCUCCCUCUUCAUUUCUGCUCUCUGUUCUUAUCCUUCAUUUAUUUCCUCCAUUUCUUUUGUCCUUCUCCUUUUGGGAUCUUGUCAGGAAUCAGUGAUUUCAUCAGGGUCAGAUCAUCCGCUUUUCUGAUGAUGAUGAUGAUGAUGAUGAUGAAGUCCACUUACUGUCUCUCUCUCCGUGAAGCGCCCGAUGUGCAGCUCACACGACGCCGUCACAGCCGCUGAGCCGCUCCUCGCACCGCUUCAGCUGUUCUCUGCCAUGGAUGGUGUUUUGUGUCCAGAGACAUUUCUCUUGUUCCACUGCAGCUUCGUUUUCAGAUCUGUCAACUGAGUUGUGACUGCGAGCCACAACCAGUGUGGUACCAAUUCAUCCAUGGUGCUGGGUGGUUGCUCUACCCAGUGUGGCCACAGGCUGAUGGGGAUGGGAUACAGUAAAUAAUGUAUAUAAUUUCAAUAGGUUUUAGUUUAUUACAUAGUGGUUCUGUUCUGAAUAUUGCUUAUAGUGAAAUAUAUAUUCAUUAUUGUCAUAUUUAUUUAAACUGAGCUCAUCAGUCAGUUCAGUCAUUACGUGAUGUCCUCACUUGGACCUGUUCCACGGACAUGUAUCACAGUGGUCGUUAAAGUAACUUGUUUAGGUGCACAUUUCUUUCAUUAUCAACGCUCCCUUUCUAACGGUGGCGGUUUCUCUCUCUCUCCAAAGUGUUCAAUAUUAAGUUACUUAUAGCACAAACAUUUUCCAAAUGUCUGUGCAUGAUCUACACAAAUCGAGUUUUACCGCCACUCGUGUUGUAGUUAAAAGAAAAUGAAGACUGAGUAAUUCUGCCCCUGAAUUGCUGCGAUCUGCUUUCAAUAAAGUGCCAAUGUUAAACCUGGA